rnacentral:rRNA from 1 species
GAUUAACGCGAAGAACCUUACCUACCCUUGACAUGGUCGGAAUCCUGCUGAGAGGUGGGAGUGCUCGAAAGAGAACCGGCGCACAGGUGCUGCAUGGCUGUCGUCAGCUCGUGUCGUGAGAUGUUGGGUUAAGUCCCGCAACGAGCGCAACCCUUGUCCUUAGUUGCUACGCAAGAGCACUCUAAGGAGACUGCCGGUGACAAACCGGAGGAAGGUGGGGAUGACGUCAAGUCCUCAUGGCCCUUAUGGGUAGGGCUUCACACGUCAUACAAUGGUCGGAACAGAGGGUUGCCAACCCGCGAGGGGGAGCUAAUCCCAGAAAACCGAUCGUAGUCCGGAUUGCACUCUGCAACUCGAGUGCAUGAAGCUGGAAUCGCUAGUAAUCGCGGAUCAGCAUGCCGUGGUGAAUACGUUCCCGGCCUUGUACACACCGAAUC